GCUUGUCUCAAAGAUUAAGCCAUGCAUGUCUAAGUAUAAACGAAUUUAUACUGUGAAACUGCGAAUGGCUCAUUACAUCAGUUAUAGUUUAUUUGAUGGUCCUUGCUACUUGGAUAACCGUAGUAAUUCUAGAGCUAAUACAUGCAUAAAACCCUAACUUCUGGAAAGGGUGUAUUUAUUAGAUGGAAACCAAUGCGGGGCAACCCGGAAUAUGGUGAUUCAUAAUAACUUUCGGAUCGUUUACGAUGCAUCAUUCAAGUUUCUGCCCUAUCAGCUUUGGAUGGUAGGGUAUUGGCCUACCAUGGUUACCACGGGUAACGGGGAAUUAGGGUUCGGUUCCGGAGAGGGGGCCUGAGAAAUGGCCACCACAUCCAAGGAAGGCAGCAGG
rnacentral:rRNA from 1 species